rnacentral:rRNA from 1 species
GUAGGGUGCGAGCGUUAAUCGGAAUUACUGGGCGUAAAGCGUGCGCAGGCGGCUUUGCAAGACAGAGGUGAAAUCCCCGGGCUCAACCUGGGAACUGCCUUUGUGACUGCAAGGCUAGAGUACGGCAGAGGGGGAUGGAAUUCCGCGUGUAGCAGUGAAAUGCGUAGAUAUGCGGAGGAACACCGAUGGCGAAGGCAGCCCCCUGGGAUAACACUGACGCUCAUGCACGAAAGCGUGGGGAGCAAACAGGAUUAGAUACCCUGGUAGUCCACGCCCUAAACGAUGUCAACUAGUUGUUGGGGAUUCAUUUNCUUAGUAACGUAGCUAACGCGUGAAGUUGACCGCCUGGGGAGU